rnacentral:rRNA from 1 species
UACGUAGGUGGCAAGCGUUGUCCGGAAUUAUUGGGCGUAAAGCGCGCGCAGGUGGUUCCUUAAGUCUGAUGUGAAAGCCCACGGCUCAAACCGUGGAGGGUCAUUGGAAACUGGGGAACUUGAGUGCAGAAGAGGAAAGUGGAAUUCCACGUGUAGCGGUGAAAUGCGUAGAGAUGUGGAGGAACACCAGUGGCGAAGGCGACUUUCUGGUCUGUAACUGACACUGAGGCGCGAAAGCGUGGGGAGCGAACAGG